UUAGGCUACUACUGACCUUCUGACAUGAAGUCAGAAAGAGGAUCGUCUACUUCCAGGCUGCGGUUGACCACAGAAAGUGAAACCAUGGAUAAAGGGGGACUACGGUACCACAAAUAAGUUGCAGAGCUACAGUUUCUAGUGACCAGGAUGAAACCCACUGGGACAGCCCUGUCACUUUGGAAUCUGCAGACAGGAUCCUGGGAAAACUAGCAGAAGCCAGCAAAAGGCAUCAAAGCUGAACAUGAUGGUCAUGCUGUUCCAUGCAGCCCUGAAAGACAAACAAAAGAACAAACACACCCCAACGACUUACAACCUGGAGCCAAGGGAGCUCUCCAGGCUAAGAGAAAAUGCAGCUGUAUCCACAAUACAGCAAUUUCAAAGCCCAUGUUCUUCAGAUGAGCAAGUCCAUUUCAAGAGUAAAAUCUAACCAUAAAUAUUUUAUAAGAAAUUUUCAGUAUUAAAACAAACCAGUUUAUAU